CAGCGUCUCAGAAUAUUCAAGAACUCUCCAAACGGCAACAGGUUUUCAAAGUAGUAUUUUCUUUUAAUUUCCGAUCAUCUCUGGUGUAAUGAAGAUAUUUUUGUUCAACAAUCAUCAGUAAUAAAUCCGAAGAAAAAGAAGACUCAACAAUUCACCGAAGUGUUCCUCAAAAAUGCUGGAAAAUCUUCAUACUGAAUUUAGAGUUUAGCUUUAAAUGUAUUAGAUUAGUUUUUGUCCGAGUGUGAAAAAUAUUUGUGUGUUGAAAUUUAUUUAGCUAGGUAUUUUAUAACAAAUUGUAUUAGCCAGGAAAUUAGAAAAGUAAGUUAAUAGUUUUAAAGAUGAAAAAUAAUUUUAAUUGCACACAAGAGGAGCAACGCCAUCGUCAACUGUACAGCAACAUUUUCUCACCGCUGAUUUGGGAUGGUUCAAGUCUGAUGCUACCUUUGGAUCGACAACAGUUAUUUUGCGUUAAUUUAAGAAGAAAGAAGAAUUACAAGAAAAUGUACUUUUUUAAGAAGUAAAAUAAAAGUUUUUUCUAAAA